AUUUCCCAGGCAAGAAUACUGGAGUGGGUUGCCUUUCCUUCUCCAAGGGAUCUUCCCGACCUAGGAAUCGAACCAGAGUCUGCUGCAUCACAGGUAGAUUCUUUACAGACUGAGCUUUUAGGAAAACAGAACAUGGACCAAUUUCAGGAGAAAAGGAAACACUGGAGAAUGAAAUGGGCCAUUGUGCUGACGGCUGCCUGAACUCAUGAAAGAAUGAGCCAAACCACGACGCCCACAAGGGACUUGGCAAAAGGUAGGAGGCCUUAAACCCCCAUUUGAAUGAGGCACCUAAGUAGUGGGACCUUACUAAUGUGCAUACUGCAGGCAGGAGGGACCCUGGAAUAGUGUCCCAUGCUACAACUCUUGAAGAAGCUAAACAGGUGGCACCUCCACUGCCCCAGGUGACUGACAAUGACAGCGACCAAGGGUGAGGCUGCCAAAUCAUCACUGUCUCCCACCUGGAGCUGCGGGUCACUUGGCAGAUGGAAAUCACUACCUGGGAGUCAG
ensembl:lncRNA